GUUGGUGGUGGUAGUACUAGUAGUGGUGGUGGUGGCGGCAGUACAGAACAAGAAGGAAGAAGAAGAAGACGAGGAGGUACAGAGGAGGAAGAGGGCAGUAGCGGAGAACAAGAAGGGAGUUCGCGACAGAGAAUCGGAGAGAACUCACGAGGAGGAGGCUCUCGUUCGGAGGACAGCGUUCGCUGCGUACGAUCUUCGCGUAACGCACUUUUCUGCCCGCGAAAGCGUGCGCGAGGAAGAUAGAGAGAGAGAGAGAGAGAGAAAAGCACAGACAAAGAGGACGAGGGAGACGAUCGGCGAGAGCGGCUUUAUCAUGUACGUGGAAGUGGUGGCAUCGCGCGAUCGCGGGUCGCGGCGGUAGUCGCAUCGUUGUCUUCGUCGGCGACGCGUAAUGCAGCGGCGGGAGGGACGAGCAUAGGGAGGAAGGAAGGACGCGCGCGAACGGGUUAUACGCGUGUAACUCGGCCUCUCGUGCCGGACGACGGGAGCGGAGUGAGAGAGUGCGUGUGAGAGAAAGAGAGAGAGAGAGAGAGUGAUAGAGAAGGGUAGAAAGAGAGCGAGCGAGAAGCGGAGCCCUCCGUAGCGCGCGCGCGGGUUAGAAAACCCCGUUCGGUGUGCGGAGAGGAUGGACCCGCGUCUGUCUCGCGGCACGAUCGUCGAUUCGCGAGCGAGCGCGAGGAAUGCGGUGGAAGCGGAACGACAACAACAACAACGACGACGACGACGACGCGUUGGGCCCGAGUAACAUGGAAGUGGAAUCGCGAGGAAGCCGAGCUGUCGAGCCAGUUGUCGUGCUAGUGCCCGGUCCCGCUGCUCCGUCAUCCGCGACAUAAAUAAACUCGUAGAUGGUCCAAGUGUAAUACCGAAUAUAUUGUAUACAUCGGCUAAAUAUAUAAAUAUAUACAUAUAAAGUGAUAUCGAAUGUGCCGAGGUCUGCGUGGCGAGUGCAUACGUUAAGAGUGGCGGUGAUCGUUGCUCACGCUCGUCAUCCUCUUCCUCCCGGGGAAAGGGGAACGCGCACAAUCUCUCGGAUACGCGUGCACAAUGGAGACCCUAUUGCCUGGGAAUACCGUCGCCGGUCAGUCGUACAGCCCGCAGUUGAAGACCGUCCUCAAGACCUAUCAGCUGUCAGCCGUCAAGAGCCUGCAGGGUCCAAGCUCAGCUUUGCUGGGCAUGGACUGCAAGGCCCUGCUACACGAGCAACAGUCGGCGACCUCGUGCUUCUCGCCGCCCGCUAUCAGUCGUCCAGCGGCGGCCAAUUGCGGCCUGGAAGUCAGUAACGGCUCGUCCGUGGAAUCGCAACCGCCAACGAAGGAUGUGCUCGAGAAGGACGUUCGCGAGACGUCGGCGCGCACGUUGACGCCCGUCCCUCCGAAGGCGCCCCGAUCCCUGGAGGACUCGGACGAGGAUCGUCCUGCGGCAACGGCGACGACGCUGGUGGAUCGCCCGAAGGUCGUGUGCGAGAAGCGCGAGCUCGAGUUUCAGAUACCGAUACUCACAGCGCCCGAUCAGAGCUGCUCCGAGAGAUGCGAGACGGUCCUCGAGGGCGAGAGGAUCUCGUGCUUCGUGGUGGGAGGCGAGAGAAGAUUGUGCUUGCCGCAGAUACUGAACACGGUGCUGCAGGACUUCUCUCUGCAGCAGAUCAAUCAGGUGUGCGACGAGCUGCAGAUCUACUGUUCGCGCUGUACCCGGGAUCAGCUCGAGGAGCUCAAGCACUCUGGCAUUCUGCCGCGCAACGCGCCGUCUUGCGGCCUCAUCACCCAGACUGACGCCGAGAGGCUCGUCAGUGCUUUACUGUUACGAACAGAGUCCUGCGAUCCCUCUCAAAUCAGCCUGGCACAGGACUGUCUUGAUAAGAAAAUGUGUAAGAACGAGGAGGAAGAGGAGUCGAUUGUCAAGUUCAAAGUGUACCACGAAUGUUUCGGCAAGUGCAAAGGUAUCUUCGACGCGAAACUGUUUGAGACGGACGAUUCGGUAUGCAUCGAGUGUCUGGAGUGCGGCUAUCAAUUUUCUCCCCAACGCUUUGUGAGACACGCUCACAGAUCUCUGGAGAACCGCACCUGCCACUGGGGUUUUGAUUCCGCCAACUGGCGGUCGUAUCUUUUGCUCUCUCGUGAUCAACAACACUACAACAAAUCGCUUAUCCUUUUUCGAGAGUUGAAGGACAGGCAUCUUGUGUUAAACUCCAAGCGAAAGCUAGAGCUACGACACGAGCACGAAAGGUUGAUCAAACGCACAAAGAAAGAUGAUUGCGCUGGAAUCUACAAUGGCAAUGGGAUGCCAAUGUACCAUCCUGUAUCCCAAAUUACCCCUGAUUCAUAUUUGAUGCAAUGGGCGGUUUUUGAGCUUGCUGCCAGGGGUGCAGCCUUCCAGCCUUGGAGUGCUACAGGCAAUUGCAAGCACAGGGACAAUUCUUCAUUGGUGCCUGCAUAUCUCAGUCGAGGUCCACCCGUACUACAGCAUCCCGAGCGAGUUAUUCCGCUUUCGGAGUGCGAACGUUUCGAGCCACACUUCCAACCUAAUGUGGCGUUGGCGCCUAUACCGGCACCCGCACAAAUAGGUCAGAUACCGCCGCCCUCGUCCGUUCAUCAGCAACGGCGGCAUCAUCACGAGCAUCGCCGUCACAAUCAUCGCCCCUCGAGUCCCACGUGUGAGAAACAGGAGUUGUCAUCCGCCAACAUUAAAGUUGAAAAAACGUCGCCGAGUCAAGCGCCGGCCAUCGGUUCUUAUCCUCUGUAUUAUGUGUCUGACGAAAAUCAGAAGGACGCGGCGUUGCCAAAGGAUAAAAAGGAAAAGGAGGGUGAAGAGGAGGAGAGCAGCGCGGCGGUGACGUCGUCUACCGUGAACGUGGAGCCUUUACCACUGGCGGCGUCCUCCGAGAUCGGCACCUCAUCACCGUCAGAAAGCGAUUCCGAUACGGACGGUGCCGCGGCAGCAGAUCUUGAGGAACGUUUGAGGGCACUGGAUGUGCCGCAGGAUGUGAUAGAACUGGCACGUCGCGUAGCAUUGGAGAAUGCGCAACUACGACGUCAUCGGCGAUCGGACGCUCACGAAAUCUCGAAGCUACGCAGUCAGCUGCACAUACAAAAGUUACAACAGCAGCAGCAAUCUAUUGUCGUCGCCGACGAUGAGAGUCAAGAUAAGAAGGAGGAUGCGACGGCGACGACGGCGACAGCACCGCGUUCCAGCGCAGCUGACAGCACCGAGGGCGGCAACGAGGAGAGCGACGCUGCGAGUUUACUAUCGAACAAUAAAGAGUCUGAACCCGCCAGCGUGCUGGCGACUAAUAACGAGUCGGAUCAGUGAUUAGGAUAACACGGAAGUUAUUUAACACACGUACACCCACAACUGCUCAGCGAUUACCGCGACGACGCUCAUCCGUUGGCCGAAUAAGCGUGCACUGAGUUUAGUAUAUUAGGUACAUAUAUAUAUAUAUACAUAUAUAUUUACGAUUCUAAACUAAACGAUAAACUGUCUAGGUUUAUGUGAUAUGCGACAAGCCUUUAAACGUUAUCGCAGAUAAUUCGGAGUUUUUAUUAGGUAAGUAAAACACGUGCUGUCCAAUUCAAAACAUCGGUCUGGUGGAGUCUUUGCGCUUCAUACUCGUGUCUCGCGAAAUUUGAACCAACCGACUGACCGACCACUGUCAGCGAAGAUAGCUUGCCUUCCAUGUUUGUCGAUAGCUACGUGCGAUACGUCCACUUCCUGUUUGCAUUUUAGUGCUCCGCGGAUAACGAAAAAAUGAUACACACGUCCUUUUUGCGAAAUGAAUUUUGGCUCGAGUCUAUGGCGCCGCAAAGACAAACGUGUUGUUCCGUUAACAUUUCGUCCCCCAGCCAUGGGUGAUGUUAGCGGAUUUCGAAAGAGUGAUACUCCCGGUGGGAGAUGUGGCAAACCGAUACCACGAGUUGGACAGUCACGUCAAGUAUACUUGUAUGUAUCGGUCGAUUUUUUGAUUAAAAUCGAAUGUAGAUAUUGUAUUAUAUUGAAACAGGGGAGUAGAUUUAAUAGAUUGUACCGCGCCAAUAAAACGAUAACAUUUAAUGGGUAUUAAAUUGAUGAGACAUUUCGUAUAUAUUAAAUAUAUACAAAAUGUAUAUAAAGCAAGAUUUUUACGAUAUAAUUUUGAUUCUUGAAUACAUGAAUAAUUUUGAUUCUUGAAUACGUGAAUAUUAAUGAGUACUAAGAAUGAGAGAGAAAAAUAGAAUACAUAUGUAUGUGAGAGAGAACGAAAUUUCUAGUGAGAAUGAACUUAGAACUUGCUUCCCAUUCACAUUUUGGUAGUCAUGAUCGCAUAAUGUAAAUACAUUGUGGCAUCAUAGGUGUACGUUUAUAAUUAAUUACAGUAUCAUGACGAAAUAAUGCUAAAGUACAAAAAACCUAGGUGCUAUAUUGUUAUUCUAGGUAUGCUGUAAGCAUAAACCUGGGUGUGUUCCAGCAGCUCGUACUACGUUGUAAUGCCCAGAACAUUAUAUACAUUUUCCAAAAAAAGGAAAACCGAAUCGCUAAAAUUUUGUGAUUAACGCGUAUAAAUGGGAUCUGCUUUUUUACUUGACAAAAAAGCUCGGUCCAAGCCUAAUCACGUCAAUAAAGACGAGAGAGGGGAGGGAGAAAAAUUUUUUAAUUUUGGAAAUUAUUAUUAUUUGGUAAAUACAGUAGGACCAUAACUCGAAUUGUUGAUAAUAAUGUAUUCGAUUGUUCUUAAAUUUUCAAUCAUUUACAUGAUUAUCGUUUAAUUUAUUGAUGGCAUAAGAGAAGUGAUCUAUACAUAGGUCAUUUGUAAUAAGGGAUCGUCGACGAUCGCAUAGUCAUGUUGUUUUUUUUUUUUUUCAAAAAUAUUCUAAAUAUUUUCUUAAAAAUGUAUUUUUUUUUUUGGAAUCGUGGCUAAAAGUAUAAUGGGAAUAUUAUUGAUCGUAUCGUACGUGUGGACACGUACUGUAUAUAAUUUCUGUUGAGUACAAUGUUUUGUUAUUAAUAUAAUAUUUUUACGAAGAUUUGCAGCUGAGGAACCCACUUUAAUAUAUAAAUAUAUUUAUAUUUAUUUUGUACAUAUAUUAUUGUUGAUACAUAUCAUUUUAGUUGUAUUUAAUAUAUAUAUAUGAAAUGGUCCUACUGUGAGAGAGAGAACGGCAGAUAUGAAGAAAAUGUUGGCCAGGCUGAGAUAGCGUUUUCAGUUUUGUCAACAUCGAAAAAUUACCUAAAGAGAGAAUAUCUUAAGACGGAGAGAGGAAGACGCUAUCAGCUCUGGCCGCGAUUUCUGUGUAUCUUUCGAGGUUUUAGCAGAGACCGAGUGUUAAAUUAUGUUGGACAUAAUUUGUCUAUAUUAUGGAUUUUUAUUUCUGUACAGAUUCGAGUUGAUUGUUGGGAUACAGAGAAAAAAAGAAAGCACAGAUUAUUUUUCCUGCAUGAAAAUACUCCAUAUAUAAGAGAAUGUCCGUGUAUCAAAUUAUAUUAUACGCCACAAUAUAAAGGGAGAAAUAGAUUUUUUUAAUAUAUUCGUAUGAAAUAUAAAUAUAUAUAUAUUGAAGCAUGAACGAACAAGCAAGAUAUAUGCACGUGUAAAAGAGGAUGUAGAUAUUGAAAAGAAAUACAUAUAUACGAGAAACAUAUAUAUACGCAAGAGGCUACAGUGCCAGUAACUCUUGCAUCAGAUCGUCGAAAAAGGGAAAAGGCAGCGAGAAAUUUCCAUGCUCAUAAGAGAGAGAAAGAGAGAGAGAAAUGAAAACGAACUCAACCGCGGGGUACUCGAUUCUGGUGUAUUUGGAUGGAGUAAAUGUUAGAUUUUCUGUUAAUAUAAAACUGACGAUGUAUAUGAGGUAAUUGACGAUGUAGAAUAGAAUACAUUCAUUAUAAUAUACAUAUAUAAAUAUAUGCCCUAUGUAACAUUCGGUCAAUAUACAUAAGUUACAUUGUGUGUAAUGUUACAGUAAGGUAAGCAUCCCACCUAAGGUAUAAAAGAAUGUAAUAGUCUAUGUUUUUCAUACACGUACAUACAUACACACUCAGUUUAUCGUAGAAUUACCUAGGACGUAAAGGAUAAAAUUCGUAAUACCUAAAUAAUUAUAUAAUACAGCUGUCGGUUUUUCGAAUACGUUUUAAAUUAUGAAAAGAAAAAGAAAAGACGAAUUUUAAUUUCGACGAAUCGUGUAAACUGCCAUAACUAAAAAAUGUAUUUCACUUUCGUACAGGGACGGCGGAUGUAUUAUAAUUUUCGUGAUGGAAAUAUAUUGACGGAUUAUUGAAAGAAGAAAUUGGAGUGUGUACGAUGCCCGAUUCCACGCAGAGCAGGAAAGAAAGAGGAUAUUAUAAAUUAAUUGGAUCGCGUCAUGCGUGCGACAAGAUGUGCCGUGCUUGUAUAAUAUAAUUAUAUGACACACAAAUGCACGCUGUGUGUGUCGACACUGCUGACGCCCGUUCGACCAGCGAGCUCCCGGGAGCAGACGUCGGAAGUGAUUUUUAUCGUGUGCUUCGCUAAUAUUAUCUCUGUUGUUAUUAUAUGUUUAGUCUGAACUUUCGAAACACGAAUUGUAAGUACUAGCUGAUACGACCUAUACGUGUGCGUGCGUGUGCGUACCUCUUCGUAUCUAAUUCGCUCGAGUUUUUUCGAUAAAAAAAAAAAAAAAAAUAUCCCAAGUACAUUUGUCGACCGAAAUCGCGCGGAUUUUCGUCCAAUCUCGGCGCCGAUGACGCGCGUGUUAUCGACGAUAUCAUUAUCGGUUGAAUAUGCGGCGCGUACAUGUGCACCGCGCGCCCGACGCGUAUAUGUAUACAUGUAUAACGUGUCGUUCUAUUUUUGACUUAUUGCGAAAACAAGAGAAUCGUAAAGACGAGAUUGCCCCGGUCCGCCGUUCGAUACAGACGUGUGCACGCACACGCGUACGCGCACGCCUGAGGAAAAUAAGCUAUUUGAAUAGACGAUAAGGCGUAUAUGAGCGUUUGUGCGAUAAUAAAAUAAAAUAAAAAAAAAUCGGGCUGAUGCGGAUAUCGUGUAGCGUGAAGGCGAGAGAGGACUUUGCUCCGCGACGCGCCGCCGUAAUCUAAACUGCAACUUAGCGGAAAUUCCAAUAGCGACAAAUAGUGACCUAUAAUCGGCGAUAUAAUCUGUAACGCGACGACCCGCGAAGUCUCUUCAUUCUGCGUUACGAACGAAAAGCAAUCUCAUAUCUGUGCGCUGGUUACAGCUACCCAGACUUCACAAGUGUCCGAGAGAGUGCUACGAGAAUGUUUCUCUCAAGCGUAUGAGAUUUUUCUUCAAAUGUUGUUUAGAUGUCCCGCGAAUGUUCUGUGGAUUUGUGAGACAUCGUUCAAGCAUCUCUUGGACGUCUUUCAAAUUUUUUGAAAGCAUUUAGACAUCCUUUAGGUUUCUAAAUUUUUUAGAUAUCGUUUAGCCGUCUGUUUCAAGACGUUUUAAAAUUGUUCAGCGUUUUUUAGAUACCUUUUUAGACAUUCUUUAGAAACGUCCUAAAUUUUGGAGGCGUUGUUUAGACACUUUGUAGACAUUCUAAAUUUUUGAAGUUGUUUAGUCAUUUUUUACGAUCGUCUAGAUAAUUUUUGUGUCGUUUGGGUACGAGACGCUAUUGUCUGACAUUGUUAUCGGGAACUUAUUUAACGGUAGAAGUCGCGGAAAUUAUUUAAUAACGCGUCGAGAACGCGUCGCGCGAGCUCCAAGAAGAAAGAAGGAAAGCGCUAAUGGAAAUCUUUUUGUACACAGUAUAAUUUAUUUUUUCAAACUUGUAUGUGCAUAUAUAUGUAUGCUCUUAUUUAUUUCGAUCCGCGAAGAACUGUGUCGAGCAUUAGAGUAAAAGAAUAUCUUGCGACUGCGCUAGGAUUUAUAAUUCUUAAGAAUUCCAACGUGUCAUUGAACUACACAUAACAAAGUGCAAUACGAAAGUACAAAGUCUGACCUCCUGUUCUCUCAAAUUUUGUAAAUCCCCUUCCAUGAGGGGGAGAGAGAAGAAGAAGAAGAAACGAAGAGAAAUCGAUCGAUCGCUCCUCUUUAAGUGUUCUACGCUCUCGCGGCUAUAAGAAUCUGCGAGAGCAUAAUAAAUUAGCGACGAUGAGCGCCUGGCUCUCUUUCGCGGCUCAUACGAGAUCUUAUCCACCGUGAUCGUAUCUGCACUGCGAUAAAUUUAUCCCAAUAUAAUACAGUGGAACUCCAUUUUACAAGAGCUCGGCCCGCUCGUUCUCGAAGUUUCGUCUUCACCGUGGAUAUGUAGUUGCGCUGUAUUAUUUAAAAAAAAAAAAAUAGGGACGAUUUUG